rnacentral:rRNA from 1 species
UAGGGAAUCUUCGGCAAUGGACGAAAGUCUGACCGAGCAACGCCGCGUGAGUGAAGAAGGUUUUCGGAUCGUAAAACUCUGUUGUUAGAGAAGAACAAGGACGUUAGUAACUGAACGUCCCCUGACGGUAUCUAACCAGAAAGCCACGGCUAACUACGUGCCAGCAGCCGCGGUAAUACGUAGGUGGCAAGCGUUGUCCGGAUUUAUUGGGCGUAAAGCGAGCGCAGGCGGUUUCUUAAGUCUGAUGUGAAAGCCCCCGGCUCAACCGGGGAGGGUCAUUGGAGACUGGGAGACUUGAGUGCAGAAGAGGAGAGUGGAAGUCCAUGUGUAGCGGUGAAAUGCGUAGAUAUAUGGAGGAACACCAGUGGCGACGGCGGCUCUCUGGUCUGUAACUGACGAUGAGGCUCGAAAGCGUGGGGAGCAUACAGG